CUCAGCACCAAGGCUUUGGCCUGUGGAGCAAUGGAAAUCACAGCCUGGCGCUGGCUCUGGCUUGCCUCCCGCAGUUUAACAAUCUACCAGUCAAAAUAAACGGUCUCCUUAGGUCUCCCGGGCACGGUUAAGGUAAUAAUUGAGAGAGAGAGAAGCCAGAGGUCUGCUUCAGCACAAAGGUACCGAGAAUCUUUUAAAAUGCCAGGCUGGUUUUGGCUGCUGGGGCCUCACUAAACUGCAUAAUUGAAGCAUUGAGAAGACAGACAAACCUGGAGGUUCUGUGAUGGUUUCUCAAAUACCCAGUUGAUUUGGAGGAUGAAACUGUUGGUUCUUUAAAAAUACACAGACUGUCACUAUGUAGCCCUGGGUGGGCUAGACAAGGCUGGCCUUGAACUCACAGAGAUGCCUCAACCUCCCAAGUGCUGGGAUUAAAGAAAUGGGCCACCAUGGCCAGAAAUUCUGAAGGACCCAAACGAAGCAAUAAACAUAGACAAAAACUUCAGGUUUAUUUUGGGCUGAACUUUCCUGAAACUGCGUCUUAGGAUGUGAUUCUCAUCCUGCUUGUAUCCUGCCGCAUUGCCAUGUGACUUCAGCUCUUCCAAGGAAGACACGGGGCCCGGAGGAUGUCCACCUCCUCUCUGUGCAACCCAGACAGUGAUGACCAAGUUACAGCUCAGCUGGAAUGUGCCCUAGAGGAAAGCCUGUGUGUCCUAGUCACCGAAACUAUGCACAAUAGCAGACACAAACCUUGUUAACUUUAUCAAUUAUGUGUGCCAGGGACUCUGACAUGGCUCAGAGUUUCCGAUGUCUUAGUGAUUUGUGACCAUUAGCAACUCAGACACUGAAAGAUUCAAGUGGCCAGUGCUGGGAAUGGUCUAAUUUCCGGAAACUUUGAUGGUGAGACAGGAAGGGAGUGUGGGGACAGACAGGAAGGUGGCAUGCUACAUGGGCUUUCAUGCUGGACAGCUCUAUGUGGAGUCCCUCCUCCCCAGCCUCAGUUUCCUAACUGGCAAAUAGCGGUGAUGAGAACCGGACACACAGCACGGGCCCUGGAUGCCAAGUCUCAUCCCCUUCCCAACCCGUGUCUAGGGGAGGUGAACUGAGGCUUACCCAGUCCAUGCUGGGUCUGCUUUGGUGGAUCUGAGGCUGUUAGUGAACCAUCAAAGCUGGGGCUUGGAAUUCAAGGACCCUAAGGGGUAUGGAAAAGGACUGGUCAUGGGUAACACCUCAUACAAACAUUCUGAAUUCAGACUGGGUCAUAGUGUAAUGUAGUAUAACCAAGUAUGGCUGGUGGUCUCCAGAAGAACCCAGAAUACGCCCAUGAAUCCAUUACUGAACAGCAAUUUUACAACUCCUAAGGUGCUAUUUGCACUUAUUUUUUGGCAGGGG